GCUGGCGCCCCGCUCCGUAGGAUCCAAGUACGCCCCUCUCCGUGGUGUUCACUGAUUGCUUGGAGCAACAACGUGCUAUUGGAGUUGCCGAAGCAUUAGGUGAUUCGAUUGUGUGCGUUUGCUGGAUUUGUUUGACGAAGGAAAUAUGACGAUGAAGGACACACAGAGGAGUGUGAGCGGUGAUGGUACCAAGGUUACCGGCAAACUUGCUCUCAGUUUUUAUUCUUGGCAGGUGAUUCUUCAUGAUAAUUUUUUGUAGAGGAACAUUUUUGCGAUGGGGCCGGGAACGGUGAUCGGUGGUGCUGGUGUCGGCAGUGCGGUACAAGGUCAGGAUGCGGGACGGGACGGCCAUCCGUGUGAGGCAGUCGGCGGUGAGGGUUUUUGGCAUCAUGAGGAGCGCCCGCGGAUUCAAGGUGUUGGCCCGAGACCUCCGACGAGGGAGGAGACGAUGUUAGUAUUUCUAGAGGAAAGAAACAAGAGAAGAAGAACAAGAACAACGACGACAAUCUCGGGUUCCAGGUACGAUGGAGCCGGCGGCGAAGCGCAUGGCGCUCGCAAAUGUGAUAGUGGAUGACGACGAUACCCUCAACUGCGGCAUCUGCUACCUCCCUCC